GAUGAAGAACGUAGCGAAAUGCGAUAAGUAGUGUGAAUUGCAGAAUUCAGUGAAUCAUCGAAUCUUUGAACGCACAUUGCGCCCCUUGGUAUUCCAUGGGGCAUGCCUGUCCGAGCGUCAUUUGUACCUUCAAGCUUUGCUUGGUGUUGGGUGUUUGUCUCGCCUUUGCGUGUAGACUCGCCUUAAAAUAAUUGGCAGCCGGCGUAUUGAUUUCGGAGCGCAGUACAUCUCGCGCUUUGCACUCAUAACGACAGCGUCCAAAAGUACAUUUUACACUCUUGACCUCGGAUCAGGUAGGGAUACCCGCUGAACUUAAGCAUAUCAAUAAGCGGAGGA
rnacentral:misc_RNA from 1 species